UAAUUAAAUUUGGUUAGUAAGAAAAACUUCAAAGAUUUUUUAUGAAAUUUUUAAAAAAAAAUUUUCAGAAAAUAAAAUUUAAUUAACAAUUAAAAAUUGUUGAAAUUUUUAAAAAAAAAAUUAGCUAAUUUUGU
rnacentral:rRNA from 1 species